ACAUUAUUGACUAAACUUCCGUAUAUGAAUUGAGUGUACGUUUUCACCAUCAUCAGUCAGUUCAUUCGGUCGAUACGCAUGUGGCAUGAAUUUACCAGUUUUACGUGUUUCGUACAAUGACAAUUUGUGAUUGCCGGUUUUGAUGAAUUCAUCAUGAUACGAUGGAUUUGCUUCACUAGCAACGCCUAUAUGUUUAAAAUGAAGACACUUAGGUCUAGAAAUCUCUGUUUUUCUGUUUUCUGUUAAAUCAUUUUACCGAGAAUAAAGGGGUAUGUAUGAUGGAUGGGGUACUUUCAAUUCUUUGCUUUUCCUCGACCCACUGUAACCCAAGCAACAUGCUAAAGAAAGCGAAUCGGCCGUUUUCUCGAUUUGAGUAGUAUUAUCAUUGUUAUUAUAAUUUGAUAUUUUAAUAUUGUUUUACUAGCAAGAUCAACUUCCCUUUGUUCUUUUACAUAGCGCAAUUCCUCCUAGCUGAACACCUGACCGACCCCUUAACCCCUCCUCGUUCUCCCUUUGCCAAAAUAAAAAAAAAUAAAAAAAAUAAAGAAAAUAUCAAUAAAUAAUUUAAUAAAAAUUUUUUUUAAACAAAAA